AUUGAACGCUGGCGGCAUGCUUUACACAUGCAAGUCGAACGGCAGCGCGGGCUUCGGCCUGGCGGCGAGUGGCGAACGGGUGAGUAAUACAUCGGAACGUGCCCAGUAGUGGGGGAUAGCUCGGCGAAAGCCGGAUUAAUACCGCAUACGACCUGAGGGUGAAAGCGGGGGAUCUUCGGACCUCGCGCUAUUGGAGCGGCCGAUGGCAGAUUAGCUAGUUGGUGGGGUAAAGGCCUACCAAGGCGACGAUCUGUAGCUGGUCUGAGAGGACGACCAGCCAAACUGGGACUUGGACACCGCCCAGACUCCUACGGGAGGCCGCAGUGGGGAAUUUUGGACCAUGGGCGAAAGCCUGAUCCAGCAAUGCCGCGUGGGUGAUGAAGGCCUUCGGGUUGUAAAGCACUUUUGGCGGGAACGAAAAGGAAUGUGCCAAUACCACGGUUCGAUGACGGUACCCGCAGAAUAAGCACCGGCUAACUACGUG
rnacentral:rRNA from 1 species